rnacentral:lncRNA from 1 species
GGGAAGAGUUGCGGAAUGUAUUCUUGGUUCAGAGCAUUUUCCCUCGGGCUCUUUCUGGGCAACAAGCCUUUUAGGAAUGUUUGUUAAAUGCUGAAAAAACGGGAGUUUAUUUCUCUCCACUUCCACAGCCAACAUGUGAGGCUGUCUGUGCUAACCUGGGUUUUCUGUCUUUUUGCUCCACAGUGAGUGACCUGCAGGAAGAAGGCAAGAAUGCCAUCAACUCGCCGAUGUCCCCUGCCUUGGUGGACGUUCGCCCUGAAGACACCCAGCUAGAGGAGAACGAGGAGCGCACGAUGAUCGACCCCACCUCCAAGGAUGACCCCAAAUUCAAGGAGCUGGUCAAGUUUCUCCACCUUCGCGGCUGCGCUGAACCCGGCGCCGUGCUGACCAGCUGCGUUUCUCCCGGGCUCAUUCAGGAUAAGUAGCUGUUUGCAAGCUGUAUCCUUUUAAAACAUAAAUUGAAAAUGUCAGUUUUAGGGCCCCCUCAAAGAUGUUGGUUCUUAACGACGUAAAUCACCUAGUUUAUUUUAUUAAGAUUUUUC